UCGUAUGCAAAAUUACAUCGGCUCGAUGGUAAUGUACAUCUUAGCUCAAAUUACACAAAAACCAAAUAUCAAUUUCUCUUAGCAUCGUUUCUGUGUAAUAUUCACAUUGAAAGAAUGUGAAUAUUACACAGAAACAGCUGCAACCAAGUGGUUGCGAUGAGGUUGUGUACAAUUACACAAACUCGAUGCCAUAUCGCAUCCCCUCAUGUGCGAUAUUGUCGCGCAACACUGUAUCGAUUGUUUUGAUCGUUCGGCGCAAGCAAAACGAGCGAAGCGAAGCCAUCUUGCUUAAUUAAAGUUGUUUGUUCAAGUGCUCUGUUUUUUUGAUAAUUCCCUUGAUUAUGACCCAGCCACGUCGAGUCUUUCCCGGUAUCGGUGAUUUUUCGCAUCGCCUCCCCGACUUGAUCCGAUUUGAUGCUGGCAAACGAUGAUCUGGCCAUCAUGGCAAAACAUCCCCGGACCAGACAUACGGAGCAGUCGGACCGAAAACACCACCUUCGUUGAACCGGCUUAGAGUCUGUUUCACCUCCGCGCAAGUAUGAUCCCCAAGGGCGCUGCUGGAUCCGCAGCAAUUUGACGACCGUAGUGCCGGCCAAAGUUCGGCAACGGAAAAGGAAACCAAAUUUGUGAUGCCCUCUAAGAAGGAAUACCGAUACCCAGAAUGCCGAUUGUAAAUAUUCCAACAUUACGCGUCCUAAUCGACAAUCGUUGCCUGUGGCGGCGCAGUGUGCGUGAUGUCCCCCAGGUCUUGAUUUUUCGGGAUUGAUAAAUACGUUGGCGAGAGUAUGGAUGAUGGCAAAUUCUUCGGAAGGCGAUAUGCUUUGCAGAAUGACGAUGCCGCUGUCUUCAAGCGGUACUUUAUUCACCGCUGCCGUCAGAAUGGUCGCCCCAACUACUUUGUGCUCGCAGAACCAACUUUAAUUGUUAUAUAAUAAUUAUUCUUAUGAGUAAAUUAUUUAAAUUUUAUAAAACAAAAUCUACUAUAAAAAUAAAAUUUCCCUCUAGAGUA